GCCAGGGUGGAUAAGUGGUCAGAAUGUCACACUAGAACUGAGAAAAUCAAGGUUCAAAUCCCUGCUCAGACA